GGACAACCUGCCCUCGGGUGGGGGAUAACCCCGGGAAACUGGGGCUAAUCCCCCAUAGGGGAUGGGUACUGGAAUGUCCCAUCUCCGAAAGCGCUUAGCGCCCGAGGAUGGGUCUGCGGCGGAUUAGGUUGUUGGUGGGGUAACGGCCCACCAAGCCGAAGAUCCGUACGGGCCAUGAGAGUGGGAGCCCGGAGAUGGACCCUGAGACACGGGUCCAGGCCCUACGGGGCGCAGCAGGCGCGAAACCUCCGCAAUGCGGGAAACCGCGACGGGGUCAGCCGGAGUGCUCGCGCAUCGCGCGGGCUGUCGGGGUGCCUAAAAAGCACCCCAUAGCAAGGGCCGGGCAAGGCCGGUGGCAGCCGCCGCGGUAAUACCGGCGGCCCGAGUGGCGGCCACUUUUAUUGGGCCUAAAGCGUCCGUAGCCGGGCUGGUAAGUCCUCCGGGAAAUCUGGUCGCUUAACGAUCAGACUGCCGGAGGAUACUGCCAGCCUAGGGACCGGGAGAGGCCGGGGGUAUUCCCGGGGUAGGGGUGAAAUCCUGUAAUCCCGGGAGGACCACCUGUGGCGAAGGCGCCCGGCUAGAACGGGUCCGACGGUGAGGGACGAAGGCCAGGGGAGCGAACCGGAUUAGAUACCCGGGUAGUCCUGGCUGUAAACGAUGCGGACUAGGUGUCACCGAAGCUACGAGCUUCGGUGGUGCCGGAGGGAAGCCGUUA
rnacentral:rRNA from 1 species